rnacentral:misc_RNA from 1 species
AAAAAAAAAAAAAAAAAAAAAGUUAAGCAAUCUUUUCUUCAAUGGGGCUAGGUUUUGAGUUUUCACCAUACAAAUUUCCAAAAAUAAUUAUAUAAGUAAACUAAAAUUAAAAUAUGCAAGCUAGAAAGCCUCAUUUCUUUUUAGUUUCCUUAUAUUUUAUAUUUUAGUUUUUAGUCUGAUUUCCUUAUAUGUUUGCAUAUUUUAGUUUUCUCCUGCCUAAGCAGAAAAAAGAACAUGAAAAAAUCUAGAGUAGUAAUGAGCAAUUUUUCUCAAGCCUGUGGUCAAUCCCAUGUCACUUUUAAGUAGCUAGAUGGUUUUGGAAUUAGCCCAAAGCGUGCAGACAUCAAGUAGUAAACAAUAGCUAGAGUGUUCUAAUAGUUUAUUUUUAUUUUAUUUGGGUUGCAAAAUUAUUAUUUCUUGAAUUCUUAUUAAUUGUUAUUAUUUUUAAUUUUAUGUUAUUUGUAGUUUGAUGAAUUAUUCACAUUUAUUUGAUUUUUAUUUUUAUUUUUUCAUUUUUGCGCCUCAUCUCAAGCAGCUAGGUGCCUUGCACCUAGUCUCUAGAACUCUUGGCUCCUUAGAGCGCCUUGAGCCUUAAUUAAUAUGCUCAAAUGUCAAAAAUGUAAAUGUAAAUUAUCUCAAACCAACUUUCAUCAAUUAUAUUUUCUUGUCAUUCAAACAAGAGGGCUGGUCAAUGUCACUUGCACUUUCCUUCCUUUGAUACUUUCUACCUCGAUUUCCAUCUUCCUUGGUUUAUUCCAUUUGCCAAAAUUCCCCCAAAAUAUAGUGUAAAAGAUUUCUUGAUUAACAUCUUGGCACCUGUAAUUAAACCAACCAUGCCACAACUGUCAUGGCGUUAGCUUAGGAAACAAACCUGCCUAUAAAUGUGCAAAACUAGACUGAAGAAAAAUUUAGAGUGACAAGGAAAGGUUGCCCAAAGAAUAAUGAAUGAAACAAACUUGGAGUUAGAAAUGAAUAAUGGCUUCAAUUAAAUACAAAAUGCUAGUGGUUAUUGGAAU